rnacentral:rRNA from 1 species
GACGAACGCUGGCGGCGUGCUUAACACAUGCAAGUCGAACGGUAAGGCCCGCUUGCGGGUACACGAGUGGCGAACGGGUGAGUAACACGUGAGCAACCUGCCCUUGACUCUGGAAUAACAGUUGGAAACAGCUGCUAAUACCGGAUAUGACUCUGUCACUUUUGUGGUGGGGUGGAAAGCUUUUGCGGUCAAGGAUGGGCUCGCGGCCUAUCAGCUUGUUGGUGAGGUAAUGGCUCACCAAGGCUUCGACGGGUAGCCGGCCUGAGAGGGCGACCGGCCACACUGGGACUGAGAUACGGCCCAGACUCCUACGGGUGGCUG